CCUCAGCUCCAAAUGCCUUGUUUUAGAAGCUAGAGCUGGGAGGUUCCGAGGACGGUUCCUGGGGGAGCGGGUGACAGGCGGGGAGGCUCUCGCGUCCUCUCUGAUUCCUGCACAGUUACCGAGGGAGAGUGCGCUAGAAAUGGCUUUGCUGCCGAACGCAUGAGCUUGCCGUUUUCGUAUCCCGAUACGGCACACACGAUCGCCUGAUCGAUCGGAAAUAGGAGGGAAAGGUAGAGUGGAAAUUGAUUUCUUGCAGAGACUGAGGCGCCGAAUGAUAGAGGGAAUAAACAUUUGCCCUGGAUAAAAAUGUUCUUGGCUGUGUUCCUGCCCUAAUAAGGAUCUAGAGCAGAAGAUUUUCUUCAGUCAUCAAAUUUUACCCAAAAGAUUACUGUUGUGUUUAUGUCUGUUUUAUACAGGUUGACAGAUGUUGGUAGGGGGAUCUGAGGUCCACACAAGGAGGUUGAAUGUCCUGAAUUAGAUUUGUUACAAAUUCAACCUUAACAAUUGUGAUAUAUAGAGAGCACAGUUUGCAUAUAUGAUCUUUUUAUGCUGUCUAAAUCUACUUACCUAAAUUGCUAUUCAAAAAAAUACAGUUGUUUGUUGAGGACCCAACCUGACUUAAGUUAGAAAAUGUAACAUUAAAUUUUUUAUUUUACAUGUGAAAUGAUUGUGAGGUUGCUAUUCUUUUAAAUAUUUGGAGAAUAAAAAGAACAGGAUAAAAACAUUAAUUUUGUGGCCCAUGGUUCCUUAACUUUAACAAAUUUUAUAACACUUAAAGUUUAUUAAACUAUCUAAGUACUUAGCAUUAUAUUAAAGCAUAUGAUGAAGUUCGAUGAACCUCAAAAUAGAGCCAUAGGCUUUU